GACGAACGCUGGCGGCGUGCUUAACACAUGCAAGUCGAGCGGUAAGGCCCUUUCGGGGGUACACGAGCGGCGAACGGGUGAGUAACACGUGGGUGACCUGCCCUCAGCUCUGGGAUAAGCCUGGGAAACCGGGUCUAAUACCGGAUAUGACUCCAUGACGCAUGUUGUGGGGUGGAAAGCCUUGUGCGGCUGAGGAUGGGCCCGCGUCUGAUUAGCUAGUUGGUGAGGUAACGGCCCACCAAGGCAACGAUCAGUAUCCGGCCUGAGAGGGCGGACGGACACACUGGGACUGAGACACGGCCCAGACCCCUACGGGAGGCAGCAGUGGGGAAUAUUGGACAAUGGGGGAAACCCUGAUCCGAGCGACGCCGCGGU
rnacentral:rRNA from 1 species